CCUUCGUUAAGGUGUGUUCGAGGAUGCCCUUUAACAAAUAAACUUUAGUAACAUAAAAGUUUUAAUGUUACUUUCAAAUAUGAUGAUUAUGAGUAGGAAGUGCUUUUCUAUGGUGGAAAAGAUGCUUGUCACACUCUCAAACAUAGUAUUAGUUGCUUAAGAGGUUUUCCUUUCUGCUUAUUAAUGAAUUGCUUUAUUUCCAUUAUGUGCUCAGGUUCUCCUUUUAGUACCAGCAAAUUUCGUGGAUGGAAAUUGAUUCAUCAAGGGGCUCUAACGCUAAUUUGUCUAAAAGUUUCAAAUUGUUGCACAAUAGUAUUAAUAUAAUCCUUAUCAGUCCAGCAUAGUCUAGAAUUGAUCACAAAUACUUGUUUCUAACAUGAGACUUAAAAAUAUCUCAUAUUAGCAGGUGAAUCUCUUCAACUAAUCUUCUUCUUCUUUUUCAUUUAGGUUACUUGACUCUGUAGAUGUUGGUGGCUCAUACACAUACACUGUUUCAUUUUCUUUCCUGAACUUUUCACACCCUGAAAAGAGAUGAUUCAUGAUUUGGAGCGAUUAAAGAACACCUGGUGCAUUCUCUUUCAAAUGGGUUGACUAUAGAGUAAUCCUUGGAAUAUAAAAAUUUCUCCAUGAUUCAUGUGCUCAAUUCAUUUCUUUCAAGUACUAAGCUAUUUCAGGAUGAUGACUGUGCAUAUAAUGGGCUAGAAGAAUGAGUUUAUGAAGGCCAUCUAAUAUUUAUUUUGUUCUUCUAUCUUGUGUUUUCUAGUCAUUGCUAGUCUCACCUUCUAUCUUGUGCCUAUUGACGUUUUCCUCUGUGGUAUCGAUACAGAUUUUCAAUCAAAGAGAAUUCUUCCAAGUUUCAGGUUCAAGGACUUUUCUUUGUCUGGGAUACUACACCUUUUUUGGAACUUUAUUCACAUCCCGGUGGUGAUUCAUUGACUGUAUUGCUGAAUCUGUCUCGAAUUACAACUAUCGCUACCGAUUAACUCAGGUCAGAAUUUGGAUCGGACAACAAAGAAACACGACAUAAAAAGGAUAAAAGUUGGAUAAGAGAAGAAAAAAAGGAACAAAUGGGUAUUGGUUGGUUAAGUAAAAGGAUCUUUUUUAUGCAUCUCCAAAAGCUCUACAUGAGUUCUUUAUAUAAAACUUUACAGUGAUUGAAUGACGAUGGCGACUUUGAUAUAAUGUUGACUGAAAAGCAAAAAGAAGAAAAUGGUUUGUUCCUCCUCCAUUCAGAAAGAAAGAAAGGUUAGUUUGCAUGGUAGAUUAUUUGAACCUCCAAAUUACACAAUCUUGCAGGAGUGACCCUCCCGUCAUCGAUCCUUGCCCUAUUUCGAGCAAUUGCUUGACUAAGAGAUAGUUGAAGAUUCCUUAAGUAUCCCGACACAAAGUAUCAUCUUCUCUAUCAUCUAAUCAUUGUAUAUUAACGAGGAUCCUAACCAAUUGAUGUAUUUACUACUAAAGGUCAAUUGACGAUCCAUAAUAGUUCUCACAUUGUAUAAACUCGAAGAUAAUCAUUUAGAAAUAUUA